UUCUAAAAAAAAUGACAGUUGGUAACGUCAUGUGAAAGGUGUAUCGAAGGCUGGCGAACGGUUUCCCCGAUAAUUAAACGGAAAAUCGUCGGAAAAACCGAGGGGAAGACAACGGAUUUCGCGUUGGAAGCAAAGCCCGCCGUGUCCGGAAAACGAAUGUAAUAUUUUCGUUCACCUAAACGUCGCGAAAACUUUGUCACCUUCAAGUCGUGCACGUGUUUUGCUCCGCCUGAGACCACCUUGAAAAUUCAAGCAACCCCACCAAUUAAGAAGAGUUCUUACCCUGAUAAAAGGAGAUUAUCAAGGAGUUCAAUCCAACGAUUUUAGGAUGUCAUCUCGAAGAAGAAGUAGGAGUAAGGAUAGAUCGAAAAGUGGUACUUCUAAGUUACGCAUGGAUAGUAAACCGCAAACUACAAGAAUUUCAGGUGGGUUUAACACAAAACGAAUUAU